rnacentral:rRNA from 1 species
UACAGAGGGUGCGAGCGUUAAUCGGAACUACUGGGCGUAAAGCGUGCGUAGACGGUUAUUUAAGUCGGGUGUGAAAGCCCCGGGCUCAACCUGGGAAUUGCAUUCGAGACUGAAUAGCUAGGGUACGGUAGAGGGAAGCGGAAUUUCCGGUGUAGCGGUGAAAUGCGUAGAUAUCGGAAGGAACAUCAGUGGCGAAAGCGGCUUCCUGGACCAGUACCGACGUUCAGGCACGAAAGCGUGGGGAGCAAACAGG